rnacentral:rRNA from 1 species
CUAACCGUGCGAAGGUAGCAUAAUCACUUGUUCUUUAAAUGAGGACUAGUAUCAACGGCAUCACGAGGAUCCUACUGUCUCCCCCCUCCAGUCAGUGAAACUGAUCUCUCCGUGAAGAAGCGGAGAUACGCAUAUAAGACGAGAAGACCCCAUGGAGCUUUAAACCCAACAACACCCGCCUCCCUUAAACCCUAUUAUCAGCCCGGCGAUUGUUUGCUUGGUUUUAGGUUGGGGUGACCACGGAGUACAAAACAUCCUCCAUGAAAAAAAGCUAACUGCCCUUAUUAGAGAAAGACAUUUCCAAAAAAUAACAAAUUAAUUUUUAAUGACCCGAUAUUCGAUCAACGAACCAAGUUACCCUGGGGAUAACAGCGCAAUCCGCCCCGAGAGCCCCUAUCGACAGGCGGGUUUACGACCUCGAUGUUGGAUCAGGGUAUCCUAGUGGUGCAGCAGCUACUAACGGUUCGUUUGUUCAACGAUUAAAACCCUACGUGAUCU